rnacentral:rRNA from 1 species
GUGGGGAAUUUUGGACAAUGGGCGCAAGCCUGAUCCAGCAAUGCCGCGUGCAGGAAGAAGGCCUUCGGGUUGUAAACUGCUUUUGUACGGAACGAAAAGGCUCUGGUUAAUACCUGGGGCUCAUGACGGUACCGUAAGAAUAAGCACCGGCUAACUACGUGCCAGCAGCCGCGGUAAUACGUAGGGUGCAAGCGUUAAUCGGAAUUACUGGGCGUAAAGCGUGCGCAGGCGGUGUUGUAAGACAGACGUGAAAUCCCCGGGCUCAACCUGGGAAUGGCGUUUGUGACUGCAAAGCUGGAGUGCGGCAGAGGGGGAUGGAAUUCCGCGUGUAGCAGUGAAAUGCGUAGAUAUGCGGAGGAACACCGAUGGCGAAGGCAAUCCCCUGGGCCUGCACUGACGCUCAUGCACGAAAGCGUGGGGAGCAAACAGGAUUAGAAACCCCGGUAGUCC